AACAGAUUACUUCGGUUUGAAGUUCUUUAUGACUGAGUGGCGGACGGGUGAGUAACGCGUGGGUAACCUGCCUUGUACUGGGGGAUAGCAGCUGGAAACGGCUGGUAAUACCGCAUAAGCGCACGGUUCCGCAUGGAACAGUGUGAAAAACUCCGGUGGUGUGAGAUGGACCCGCGUCUGAUUAGGUAGUUGGUGAGGUAACGGCCCACCAAGCCGACGAUCAGUAGCCGACCUGAGAGGGUGACCGGCCACAUUGGGACUGAGACACGGCCCAGACUCC
rnacentral:rRNA from 1 species